rnacentral:tRNA from 1 species
UUAUUUUGGCAGAUUAGUGCAAUGAAUUUAGAAUUCAUAUAUGAUUUUAUUUCAAAUAAUA